rnacentral:rRNA from 1 species
GACGAACGCUGGCGGCGUGCUUAACACAUGCAAGUCGAACGGACAGGCCCUGCUUUUGUUGGGUGCUCGAGUGGCGAACGGGUGAGUAACACGUGAGUAACCUGCCCUUGACUUUGGGAUAACUUCAGGAAACUGGGGCUAAUACCGGAUAGGAGCUCCUGCUGCAUGGUGGGGGUUGGAAAGUUUCGGCGGUUGGGGAUGGACUCGCGGCUUAUCAGCUUGUUGGUGGGGUAGUGGCUUACCAAGGUUUUGACGGGUAGCCGGCCUGAGAGGGUGACCGGCCACAUUGGGACUGAGAUACGGCCCAGACUCCUACGGGAGGCAGCAGUGGGGAAUAUUGCACAAUGGGCGGAAGCCUGAUGCAGCAACGCCGCGUGCGGGAUGACGGCCUUCGGGUUGUAAACCGCUUUCGCCUGUGACGAAGCGUGAGUGACGGUAAUGGGUAAAGAAGCACCGGCUAACUACGUG